rnacentral:rRNA from 1 species
UACGGAGGGGGUUAGCGUUGUUCGGAAUGACUGGGCGUAAAGCGCGCGUAGGCGGAUCGCAAAGUUGGGGGUGAAAGCCCAGGGCUCAACCCUGGAAUUGCCUUCAAGACUCGCGGUCUGGAGUUCGAGAGAGGUGGGUGGAAUUCCGAGUGUAGAGGUGAAAUUCGUAGAUAUUCGGAGGAACACCAGUGGCGAAGGCGGCCCACUGGCUCGACACUGACGCUGAGGCGCGAAAGCGCGGGGAGCAAACAGGAUUAGAUACCCGUGUAGUCC